UUUUACCAUGAAGAGUUUGAUCCUGGCUCAGGAUGAACGCUAGCGACAGGCUUAACACAUGCAAGUCGAGGGGCAGCGGGGAGUAGCAAUACUUCGCCGGCGACCGGCGCACGGGUGAGUAACACGUGUGCAACCAACCCCGUACCGGGAGAUAACCCGCGGAAACGUGGACUAACAUCCCAUAAUACUGGAGGAUCGCAUGAUCUUUCAUUUAAAAUUCCGGUGGUACGGGACGGGCACGCGCGACAUUAGGUAGUUGGCGGGGUAACGGCCCACCAAGCCGACGAUGUCUAGGGGUUCUGAGAGGAAGGUCCCCCACACUGGAACUGAGACACGGUCCAGACUCCUACGGGAGGCAGCAGUGAGGAAUAUUGGUCAAUGGGCGAGAGCCUGAACCAGCCAAGUCGCGUGAGGGAAGAAUGGUCCAUGGCCUGUAAACCUCUUUUGUCAAGGAAGAAUAAAUUGCACGUGUGCGAUCUUGCCAGUACUUGACGAAUAAGCAUCGGCUAACUCCGUGCCAGCAGCCGCGGUAAUACGGGGGAUGCGAGCGUUAUCCGGAUUUAUUGGGUUUAAAGGGCGCGUAGGCGGGACGCCAAGUCAGCGGUAAAAGACUGCAGCUAAACUGUAGCACGCCGUUGAAACUGGCGCCCUCGAGACGAGACGAGGGAGGCGGAACAAGUGAAGUAGCGGUGAAAUGCUUAGAUAUCACUUGGAACCCCGAUAGCGAAGGCAGCUUCCCAGGCUCGAUCUGACGCUGAUGCGCGAGAGCGUGGGUAGCG
rnacentral:rRNA from 1 species